GAUGAACGCUGGCGGCGUGCUUAACACAUGCAAGUCGAACGAAGCACUUUUAUUUGAUUUCUUCGGAAUGAAGAUUUUAGUGACUGAGUGGCGGACGGGUGAGUAACGCGUGGGCAACCUGCCUCAUACAAGGGGAUAACAGUUAGAAAUGACUGCUAAUACCGCAUAAGACCACAGCACCGCAUGGUGCAGGGGUAAAAACUCCGGUGGUAUGAGAUGGACCCGCGUCUGAUUAGGUAGUUGGUGGGGUAACGGCCUACCAAGCCGACGAGCAGUAGCCGACCUGAGAGGGUGACCGGCCACAGUGGGACUGAGACACGGCCCAAACUCCUACGGGAGGCAGCAGUGGGGAAUAUUGCACAAUGGGGGAAACCCUGAUGCAGCGACGCCGCGUGAGCGAUGAAGUAUUUCGGUAUGUAAAGCUCUAUCAGCAGGGAAGAAAAUGACGGUACCUGACUAAGAAGCACCGGCUAAAUACGUGCCAGCCGCCGCAGUAA
rnacentral:rRNA from 1 species